rnacentral:rRNA from 1 species
ACUUAAGCAUAUCAAUAAGCGGAGGAAAAGAAACCAACAGGGAUUGCCCUAGUAACGGCGAGUGAAGCGGCAACAGCUCAAAUUUGAAAUCUGGCUUCGGCCCGAGUUGUAAUUUGUAGAGGAUGCUUUUGGUGCGGUGCCUUCUGAGUUCCCUGGAACGGGACGCCACAGAGGGUGAGAGCCCCGUAUAGUUGGACACCAAGCCUCUGUAAAGCUCCUUCGACGAGUCGAGUAGUUUGGGAAUGCUGCUCAAAAUGGGAGGUAAAUGCCUUCUAAAGCUAAAUACUGGCCAGAGACCGAUAGCGCACAAGUAGAGUGAUCGAAAGAUGAAAAGCACUUUGAAAAGAGGGUUAAACAGCACGUGAAAUUGUUGAAAGGGAAGCGCUUGUGACCAGACUUGCGCCAGGUGGAUCAUCCAGCGUUCUCGCUGGUGCACUCUGCCUGGUUCAGGCCAGCAUCGGUUUCUUCAGUGGGAUAAAGGCCUUGGGAAUGUAGCUCUUCCGGGAGUGUUAUAGCCCGUGGCACAAUACCACUGAGGGGACCGAGGUUCGCGCUCUGCAAGGAUGCUGGCGUAAUGGUCAUCAGCGGCCCGUCUUGAAACACGGACCAAGGAGUCAAGCAUUAGGGCGAGUGUUUGGGUGCAAAACCCGCACGCGUAAUGAAAGUGAACGUAGGUGAGAGCUUCGGCGCAUCAUCGACCGAUCCUGAUGUAUUCGGAUGGAUUUGAGUAAGAGCCUUACCGCUUGGACCCGAAAGAUGGUGAACUAUGCUUGUAUAGGGUGAAGCCAGAGGAAACUCUGGUGGAGGCUCGCAGCGGUUCUGACGUGCAAAUCGAUCGUCAAAUAUGAGCAUGGGGGCGAAAGACUAAUCGAACUAUCUAGUAGCUGGUUACCGCCGAAGUUUCCCUCAGGAUAGCAGUGUUGUUUUCAGUUUUAUGAGGUAAAGCGAAUGAUUAGGGACUCGGGGGCGCUAUUUAGCCUUCAUCCAUUCUCAAACUUUAAAUAUGUAAGAAGCCCUUGUUACUUAGCUGAACGUGGGCAUUCGAAUGUAUCAACACUAGUGGGCCAUUUUUGGUAAGCAGAAACUGGCG